GACGAAGGGGGCUAGCGUUGUUCGGAAUUACUGGGCGUAAAGCGCGUGUAGGCGGUUAUCCAAGUCAGGUGUGAAAGCCUUGAGCUCAACUCAAGAAAUGCACUUGGUACUGGGUGACUAGAGGACCGGAGAGGAUAGUGGAAUUCCCAGUGUAGUGGUGAAAUACGUAGAGAUUGGGAAGAACACCAGUGGCGAAGGCGGCUAUCUGGACAGUGACUGACGCUGAGACGCGAAAGCGUGGGGAGCAAACAGG
rnacentral:rRNA from 1 species